UGAAAUUCUAAUGGAAAUGUUUCACAAUGAUGUCAUUAGGCAGAGCAGGCAACAGAUGGCACACAGACAGCAGAGUUGGGGACAGAUAUGCAGGGACAGACUGGCAGAGACAGGGAGUCUCAGGUCCCUAGUGGAAUGACAACAACAUGGCUGCUUGUUAAAGAAGAGAUGGAGAGAGAGACAGAGAUAACCAUAUACAUUGCACAUGGACCGUAAGAAAUCCUGAAGAGAGCCUAUUGGAACCUUAGAAAUUGUCACGUUACAGCAGAGAUGCUGUAUUUUCAAUAGAGAUGCCACAGAAGCAGAAGAAUGCCAUUUAUGGGCCAGACAGGGCACUUCCUGUAUGGAAUCUUCUCAGGUUUUGGCCUGCCAUAUGAGUUCUGUUAUACUCACAGACACCAUUCAAACAAUUUUACAAACUUUGGAGUGUUUUAUAUCCGAAUAUACUGGAAAAGAGUAGUAACCAGUUUAAAUCGGGUACGUUUUU
rnacentral:lncRNA from 1 species